ACAGUGAACAUAUUUAUCAUGAUGGCUCUGCUUUUCUUGUUUGCUUACCUUGUCUGGUUCUCAAUGUUAACAUAACAUUAUUAAUCCUCAUUAAUUACAAAUUGAUGAUAUAGAUUUAACUAACAUAACUUGAGUGAAAUCCUUUGCAAUUAUGAAGUAAAAAAAAAUCCUCUUCACAAUUGGAUGAACAUUCUUUUGUUUAACCAACAAUAAUGCAUUGAAGAUAUUUCUUUUGGGGCAAGGAUGGGAAGAUUAAUUGGGACAGUUGAUAAAGUGCACAUAUUAAAACAGGGGAAUAAUAGAGGAAAAACUAUAGGUGCCUCUUUGUUUAGACAAGCUGCACUUGUAUAAUCUAAAAUAGAAGGGCAUCACAUCCUAAAGGAAUUGAAAGAAAAGGGGAAGUUUCAGAAUCUACUAUGUGCUUCUAUAUGCAUGUAUAAAAUUACCUGUACUUGAGCAUGUAAUUGCUAAUUCAAUUUAAAUUAUUUCGAAAAUUCUAUGGGCGGUUAAUGAUUUUCUACAGGGCCAGUAAUAUACUGAUUUUUUUGACAAAUUUAUUGCUACCGGUUACCGAGUGCUUAAUUACUAUACUAUACUAUUGCGGAUGUUAAGAUGGAUGUUUGGUAACAUGGUAAUGGAUAAGAUCAUGAAUGACCAUGCUUGCCAGAGAGUGCAUGUAUUGGGGAUAAAUGAGAGAAGGUUGAUUAAGAUGAUUUGGUCAUGUCUAGCGCAGAGUAUCAAAUAGCCUAGUACAAAAGUUUUUUAAGUUAGUGGUGGAAGGAGAGAAAAGGGAAAGGGGGAAAUCUAAAAUGUCAUGGAGGAAAGUAGUAUCAAAAGAUUUACAAAUUUUGAAUAUUAAUGUGGAAUUGGUUUCAAACAAAACUAAAUUGCAAAGAAGGAUCUAACUGACUCCAACUAGUUUGGGAUUA
rnacentral:misc_RNA from 1 species